AUAGUCAUGCUGGAGGACCUCG
rnacentral:miRNA from 1 species